AUACGUAGGGGGCGAGCGUUGUCCGGAAUGAUUGGGCGUAAAGGGCGCGUAGGCGGCUUUGCAAGUCAGUAGUGGAAGUCCAUUUUUCAAGGAUGGAAGUGCUACAGAAACUGCGGAGCUUGAGUGCAGGAGAGGUUAUCGGAAUUCCCGGUGUAGCGGUGAAAUGCGUAGAGAUCGGGAGGAACACCAGUGGCGAAGGCGGGUAACUGGACUGCAACUGACGCUGAGGCGCGAAAGUGUGGGGAGCGAACAGGAUUAGAUACCCUGGUAGUCCACGCCGUAAACGAUGAUUACUAGGUGUAGGGGGUAUCGACUCCCUCUGUGCCGCAGUUAACGCAUUAAGUAAUCGACCUGGGGAGUACGGCCGCAAGGUUAAAACUCAAAUGAAUUGACGGGG
rnacentral:rRNA from 1 species